UACGUAGGGGGCAAGCGUUACUCGGAAUUACUGGGCGUAAAGGGUGAGUAGGCGGCUGGGCAAGUCAAGGAUGAAAUCCCGAGGCUCAACUUCGGAAUUGUCCUUGAAACUGCUCAGCUUGAGGGUAGUUGAGGAGAGCGGAAUUCCCGGUGGAGCGGUGAAAUGCGUAGAUAUCGGGAGGAACACCUGAGGCGAAGGCGGCUCUCUAAGCUACUCCUGACGCCGAAUCACGAAAGCUAGGGGAGCAAACGGG
rnacentral:rRNA from 1 species